AACCGAAAGUGUAAAAUCGAACCGAACCGAAUCGAAUUAUAAAUAAAUAUUAUUUUUUUCCCUUAAACGGCGUCGUUCAGUCCAAUUUGUAUUUUGUAGCGCAUGCCUGCCUUCUAUCUUCAGUCUGAAACCCUAAACAGAACCGAACCAUUCCCUUUCUCCAUCUCAUCCCCAGCUCCGGCGCUCUUAGCCUCUUCCACUUCGUUUUCUUCCUUCCCAGCGACCUGUGUCACAUCUCGCUGUCGCUGUCUCAUUCUCAGUCUCUCACCUCCGUGACCGAUGACCUGCGUCCCAUGAGGCACGACUUCCUCUCACCGUUUCAAGUCUCGAGUCUCAACCCAAAAAUUCCCUCCUUUGCAAGAUGAAGUCAAGUGCAUCAAAGGCCUCGAGCUCAAGCUCAAACUCAAUGAGAUCAUCAAAUAGCUCCCGUGAAAAAAAUAAACUCAUCUACGUCUACUCCAUCGCAAGACAUUGUUGGUGAAUCAACUCCACCUCAACUCCCCAUGGUGGUAACUCAACAAACUCCUCUUACUCAUGGUGGAUCCAAAAAAUCCUCUGAUGCAACUCCAAAAGAAGGUUGCUCAAGUGAUAAAAAAUGACAAAUGGAAGCUCAAAGAAAGGUGCUAUGUUGCCUCCUAAGCCGCCUAAGCCUUGAGCUUGAGCUUGAGGACUUGGAAGAUUUUAUUUGUGCAAGACAUGAAGUGAUGAAACCUUGAAGGUUUAUUUGACUUGUGUGAUGUUUAAAUUUGGACGUUUUGAAGACUUAAACUUUGAUGUUUAAAUUUAGACUUUUUGAAGACUUAAACUUGAUUGAUGAUUCUAGUUGGACUUUAAAUGUUUAUUUUC